ACAGCAGUAGCCACGGUAAUACGAAGGGUGCAAGCGUUAAUCGGAAUUACUGGGCGUAAAGCGUGCGUAGGCGGUGAGCUAAGUCUGCUGUGAAAUCCCCGGGCUCAACCUGGGAAUGGCAGUGGAUACUGGCUCGCUAGAGUGUGUCAGAGGAUGGUGGAAUUCCCGGUGUAGCGGUGAAAUGCGUAGAGAUCGGGAGGAACAUCAGUGGCGAAGGCGGCCAUCUGGGACAACACUGACGCUGAGGCACGAAAGCGUGGGGAGCAAACAGGAUUAGAGACCCGAGUAGUCCCUGUCUCUUAUAC
rnacentral:rRNA from 1 species